rnacentral:rRNA from 1 species
UACGAAGGGUGCAAGCGUUACUCGGAAUUACUGGGCGUAAAGCGUGCGUAGGUGGUGAGUUAAGUCUGAUGUGAAAUCCCCGGGCUCAACCUGGGAAUGGCAUUGGAUACUGGCUCGCUAGAGUGCGGUAGAGGGUGGUGGAAUUCCCGGUGUAGCAGUGAAAUGCGUAGAGAUCGGGAGGAACAUCUGUGGCGAAGGCGGCCACCUGGACAAUUGCUGACGCUCAGGCACGAAAGCGUGGGGAGCAAAAGGG